UUGAAAGGGAAACGAUUGAAGUCAGUCGUGCUGGCGCGAAAUCAACCCUCUCAUCGAGAGACCCAUGGUGUGGCGAGCCUCAAAACCCCCCCCGAAUGUGUCUCUCUAUGAGGGGGAGAACUUUCUUGUCCCCUGGUUAACAUCUAUUUUUAACGUCAUAUAAAGGGGGGAGGGAUGUGGGUCCCCCUCGAGAGUGAUAACCUUUAUCGGAAUGUGGGGGGCGGGAUAGAGGAUAGCGACAAAUACCUUUAGGGGUGUGCCCCCUGGGUCCUCUUUGGGAUCCUGGGGAAAACACCUUGCUGACAUUGUUAUGAUACUCCUUUGAACACGCUAUAGAGUGAGCAAAUUCUCUAAGGAUGUUGACAUA
rnacentral:rRNA from 1 species